rnacentral:lncRNA from 1 species
AAUUCAAUAUGUUCAGAGAAAAUAAACUUCAAUCUCUUAAAAGCUUUUUUAAGCAAUAAAAUACAUUUAUGUUGAAUAUGUAUUACCACAAUGUGAUAAAAAGAAUAGAACAUUCAAAAUAUGCCUAUAUUAAAUUUUUAGUAUAGACUAAGGAAUUUAGUCUUGUAUACAAAGAGUAAUUACACGUUCCAAAGAUGUCA